rnacentral:misc_RNA from 1 species
ACUGUUUUGACAAAUUCUCAAGCUGCUUUCUAGUAGCAUCCAACUCUUGCAAUGCUGUGUCUCUCUCCUGAUCAGUGGAUCCCAUUUUUGACUCUGCACUUGAAUUUUCAUCCUCUUUAGACUCCAAUUUCAAUUCCAUUUCUAAUGAUUUCCUCCUCAGUUCCUCCAUAUCCCACUGCAUUUGUGUAAGCCUUUCUCUCUCAAUUAAAAUAGCCUGCUGCAGGUUUUCUUUAUUUUUCUGUUUGGUAGUUUCAAGUUCUGCCUCCAAAUCCUUGACCUUUGUAGUAAGGUAAUCUUUUACAGCUAUUUCUUGAUUUAAUCUUGCUAUAAGGUCCUCCAUGUCUGUUUUUGUUGUGACUAAUCUCCGCUGCAUGGUUGUUAGAACCCUGUUCAUUUUAUGACGCUGAUCCAAUGGAAGGACUAUUUGUGCAUCACCUGUAAAUUGCAACUCCGUGCUGCCAAGAAUACCUGCCAUACUAAGAACCUCAGAACCCCCAGGAAGGUCAAGAGAUCCAUCACCAGAUGAAUUUGGUAUGCCAGAGUUUGAUAUUUCACUGCCUCUUAGAGAACUUCCAUCACUUCCAAUGCUCUCGCUAGAUAACUUUCGAGCAUGACCAAAAGCCUUGCCAGGCUCUGGCUCAGAGAAAAGUUCCAUCCCAUUGCCAGCAAGAAAUGAGGAUUUAGAAGCAUUUCCAUUAUAUGUAUCCUUCCCUAUGACAUUAUUCACAUGUCUGUCAUGCGGUUUGUGCCUUGGAAUACCUUCAAGCUGCUCCAGAAUAGUCUGUCCCAUAAAUAGCCCCUCAUCAAUGUUGGACAUGCCAUAGUUCACAAGCUUUUCUAUUGGAUUUGUCAAAUCUUCAUCCAAUGUUAGACCCUCAGUUCCAAUUUCAAAAUGUUCAUCCCUUACUAACCUUGGUGUUCCAAGCUCCGAUGUCUCAUAAGCAGUAUCACUACCAUAAUCUGAUGCAACUGACGAACUACCAACAAUCACAGAAGAAGUGGAAUGUGGAGGUAUUUGAAGUGAAGGUGUGCUAUCAACAGCAGGACUAGUCUCUGAUGACUGCUUAUUUACAUCCUGGAAUGCUGAGAGAUGUUGAAAAUAUAAGGUCAAUUUUAUUUUUCAGAAAAGAAAAAUAAUUUGACAAAUCCAAAAGGAGGCAAAUACGUAGUGUGUCAAUUUUAUUUCUGAAAAAACAAAAGUAGCAGUGUACUUUCACUUAAAUAUAAAACAAGAGCCAAUGAUGUUUCAAGGUGAACUUGCUGCAAUACAAUAACACAUACAAGACCUCACAGCAGCUUCUAGUUCAAGAAAAGAUGCCACUGCCACGCUACGUGAUAAAUCAAUGUCAGAUAGCAGCUUUGUCAUCCACUCCUCCAAAGAGCACCUUCUCUCUUCCAAAAGUGCCCUGCUUUUCAUUCGUAGUAGUCCCUUGGGUGGAGCUGGUGGAAGAUUUUUCUUUGGAAAUGAUUUUUUAAGAUUACUAAAAAACUUCAGAAAAUCAUUAAAUCUUCUCAACACUGUAUGCGUAGUUGUAAUCCCUUCCGGUGAUUGCACACCAACCUGAACCCUGUAAAACUGUCCCCUAAGAAUGUUAAAGUUGAAGAUGUUUAACAUUUGUGCAAGGUCAUUAAUACGUGCAUGCACACAAACAGACAUAUAUACAUGAAUGUCCAUCAAAUGGGAAACUGACUCACAAUAUCACAAGAAUCUUGUUAAUUAUGGCAAGUACAUUUGGGAGUGCAAAGCUAGCAACUUUUAUAUAACGCUGAAUACAAAUGAAAGCUACAAGACACUAAACUUCUAAUAUCCCAACAGUUAAAACUUGAGAUUCCAACUCAGAUCUCGAGUCAAAGAGUUACUAGGGUGCAAAAAUUUAUAAGGGAAAAGCUAUACCCAUUGUAUAGUGAAAACAAUGGGCAAAAAUAAAUAGUAAUUAUAGUUAAUAAAUUGUUAGUGUUCAGUUUAUGGGUUGCAGAUGAAUUCGCAAAUCCAACUAGAAAGAGAAUUGGUUAAAAUGAGUUAAAAAGGACAUUUUUUUAAAGUGAUUCUUGUACUGCUGGAAUGAAAUGUAAAAACAGAACCCAAGUUCUUAGCCACUUUCACCAUGAUUGCAUAUUUAGAGAUCAUUUAAUAAGUUCUAUAACAGGCAGUUUACUAAUGGUUAAUGAAUGCAGAACAUUUGUGCAAACUUAGAGGUGUUUUUCGAGUGAAGAAUAUAUAUAUAUGGAAAAAACGCUUGCAUUCUAAAGCAAUAAAUGGUAAUACGCAGUCAUUUAUAUCUUGCAAGUGAAUCCAAUAUUUUUUCAAGUCAAAUUUGUAGAGAUAGUAUAAUAACAACAUCUAACCCUUGGCAUAGAUAAACACUGGAGAGUCAUUCAAUUUGAAUACCACUACAGGAUCUGAAUCUCUUGAUUUUGGAAGAACAGCCCAGGAAGGUAUAGUGACACAAUAACUCCAUCCCGAUCUAGGAUCAUGCGGCCAAAUGGUAUCCCGCCCAUUCCAUUUUCGAGGGGGAGGACUCCAAUCCAUCCCCAAAGGCAGCGGAGAAGUCCCAUCAUGUCUGUGCUUGGGUGGACUCCGUCUCUGCAUCAUCUUCUAUUCUCCCUCAAAAAUUCUCUCUCUAAAAAUUGAGAGUGAUCAUAAGAUCACUCUCAGCCUUCCCUAUAUCUGAAUUAACAAUGAUCUCUCAAAAUCCGUCUCCAAUUCUCGCGUCAGAAACCAAAUUCAACAAUCUAAUAGAAAAUAAGCGACUCUGCAGAGCUGGAGAAAUUGUCAGGGUUCUGGCGAUCGCAUCGGAGGUAGAAGACAAAGAAAGACCAGGUAUGGAAUCCGUACAAUAAUAUCAAAAUAGUCGUCUUCGUUGUGGCAUUCUUUUCGGAGCUAAACGACGUCGCACGAUAACAAAUGAAGAGGCAAACGUGGCUGCAGAGAAAGAGAGAGUUAAUGCGUCACCUCACCAGCUGCUUGGAUUCUGAGUUCUCUUUCCCUGGUUGGAGAAAGAAAAAGAGAGCGAAGGUCGUAACUUGUAAGGAUGGAUGGGAGUCCACAAAAUCAAAUCUCAACUCGGCUUUUACCUAACUGUCUUUUUUAGCAUCUGCUUUGAUUUUAGCUUCACGGCAGGGACAAUGAGAAGCCUAAUUCGGCCCUUGCUGGAGAUGGGUAAGCUUCAAUUUCAUCUUCUUUCCUCGGCCCGGCCCUCUUCCUUU